AUAUUUACCUGGCGUAGGGAUACCGUGAUCAUGCAGGCGGUUCCCCCAGGGUGACGCUGCUCCUUUGCACGGCGGAGUGGUUGACCCUUGCGAUUAUUUUUAUUUUUUUAUAUGUUUCACUUGUACCGUGUGUGAUUUGCACACA
rnacentral:snRNA from 9 species